GCUCCAAUAGCGUAUACUAAAGUUGUUGCAGUUAAAAAGCUCGUAGUUGAAUUUCUGGAUGCGAAAGAUGGUCGGCACCUCACGGUGUCUGUACUUCAUUCGCGUCCAUCCUCGGGAGGAACGUGUGGGGCUUUAAGUAGUUCUGCUCGGGGAAUCUCGUCAUUUACUGUGAGCAAAAUAGAGUGUUCAAAGCAGGCUUA
rnacentral:rRNA from 1 species